AUUGAACGCUGGCGGCAUGCUUUACACAUGCAAGUCGAACGGCAGCGCGGGCUUCGGCCUGGCGGCGAGUGGCGAACGGGUGAGUAAUGCAUCGGAACGUGCCCAGUAGUGGGGGAAAGCCCGGCGAAAGCCGGAUUAAUACCGCAUACGACCUGAGGGUGAAAGCGGGGGACCGAAAGGCCUCGCGCUAUUGGAGCGGCCGAUGUCGGAUUAGCUAGUUGGUGGGGUAAAGGCUUACCAAGGCGACGAUCCGUAGCUGGUCUGAGAGGACGACCAGCCACACUGGGACUGAGACACGGCCCAGACUCCUACGGGAGGCAGCAGUGGGGAAUUUUGGACAAUGGGGGCAACCCUGAUCCAGCCAUGCCGCGUGCGGGAAGAAGGCCUUCGGGUUGUAAACCGCUUUUGUUCGGGAAGAAAUCCUCUGGGCUAAUACCCCGGGGGGAUGACGGUACCGGAAGAAUAAGCACCGGCUAACUACGUG
rnacentral:rRNA from 1 species